AGCGAACGCUGGCGGCAGGCCUAACACAUGCAAGUCGAACGAAGUCUUCGGACUUAGUGGCGGACGGGUGAGUAACACGUGGGAACGUGCCUUUAGGUUCGGAAUAACUCAGGGAAACUUGUGCUAAUACCGAAUGUGCCCUUCGGGGGAAAGAUUUAUCGCCUUUAGAGCGGCCCGCGUCAGAUUAGCUAGUUGGUGGGGUAAAAGCCUACCAAGGCGACGAUCUGUAGCUGGUCUGAGAGGACGACCAGCCACACUGGGACUGAGACACGGCCCAGACUCCUACGGGAGGCGGCAGUGGGGAAUCUUGGACAAUGGGCGCAAGCCUGAUCCAGCCAUGCCGCGUGGAUGAUGAAGGCCCUAGGGUUGUAAAAUCCUUUCGUUGGGGACGAUAAUGACGGUACCCAAAGAAGAAGCUCCGGCUAACUUCGUGCCAGCAGCCGCAGUAACAC
rnacentral:rRNA from 1 species